GACGAACGCUGGCGGCGUGCCUAAUACAUGCCAGUAGAACGCUGAAGCUUGGUGCUUGCCCCGAGCGGAUGAGUUGCGAACGGGUGAGUAACGCGUAGGUAACCUUCCUGGUAGCGGGGGAUAACUAUUUGAAACGAUAGCUAAUACCGCAUAAGAGUAGAUGUUGCAUGACAUUUGCUUAAAAGGUGCAAUUGCAUCACUACCAGAUGGACCUGCGUUGUAUUAGCUAGUUGGUGAGGUAACGGCUCACCAAGGCAACGAUACAUAGCCGACCUGAGAGGGUGAUCGGCCAAACUGGGACUGAGACACGGCCCAGAAUCCUACGGGAGGCAGCAGUAGGGAAUCUUCGGCAAUGGACGGAGGUCUGAACGAGCAACGCCGCGUGAGUGAAGAAGGUUUUCGGAUCGUAAAGCUCUGUUGUAAGAGAAGAACGAGUGUGAGAGUGGAAAGUUCACACUGUGACGGUAUCUUACCAGAAAGGGACGGCUAACUACGUG
rnacentral:rRNA from 1 species